ACCUCUGCAAUAGGCGAAAGCCUGACAGGGUUAUUCUGAGUGACUUUCGCUAAGAAAGUCUUUUGACACCUCUAAAAAUGGUGUAGAAUAAGGGGUGGGCAAGUCUGGUGUCAGCCGCCGCGGUAAUACCAGCACCCCGAGUGGUCGGGACGAUUAUUGGGCCUAAAGCAUCCGUAGCCGGUUUUACAAGUCCCCCGUUAAAUCCAGCUGCUUAACAGAUGGGCUGCGGAGGAUACUAUAAGACUAGGAGGCAGGAGAGGCAAGCGGUACUCAGUGGGUAGGGGUAAAAUCCGUUGAUCCAUUGAAGACCACCAGUGGCGAAGGCGGCUUGCCAGAAUGCGCUCGACGGUGAGGGAUGAAAGCUGGGGGAGCAAACCGGAUUAGAUACCCGGGUAGUCCCAGCUGUAAACGAUGCAGACUCGGUGAUGGACUAGCUUUAUGCUAGUCCAGUGCCGCAGGGAAGCCGUUAAGUCUGCCGCCUGGGUAGUACGGUCGCAAGACUGAAACUUAA
rnacentral:rRNA from 1 species